GUGUAGGGACAAUGGUUAGACACAUAGGGACGACUUGGUGCAUGACCAAGGUCCUGGUUACUUGAUGGCUCAAGGUCCAUUGAGAUCUGAGAAGGAUUGUAUGGAAUAUUCAAGGAAUUAUGGACUAGGAGCAUCAAAGUGCAAUUGUGCCUAAGAUCGCGAGCUACGUAAGUAGAGCAUAAAGGAUAGCAUAGGGAGAGUCAAGGGUGGGUAAGGGUUCGACGCAUCCGAGGGAUAAGAAGCUUGACGGAAGAUAGUUGAAGAGGACUACAUAUGUGAAGGAGUGAGCCACAGGCAUGGUUCAAUUAAGGAACAAGAAGUUUGACAUAGAUGAUAGACAGCAGUAUAGUGAGUUGAGAAUUAUGGGAAAAUGUACUUGGGGCCAUGCAAGUAAAUCUCCACUUAGACAACUCAGUCAUUAGAUGAGUUGUAGUCAAAAUAAACAGUCAAUGAGUUGUAGUCAAAAUAAACAGUCGACUGAGCCCUUUUCCCAACUCGUGGUUGAAUCAACUGAGUAGUCGACUUAAAUGUGAACAGCUAGUCAUCUAGUUCGUAUGGCCAGUCAAUUAGCGGAGGCUAGAUGAAAUGGUCCCUGAAGGAAACAAUCGUGAUCCACAAGAAUUGAUUUAAGUUCAAUCACUUGGCGGUACAUAGUAGUCAACUGAAUUAAAGGUUGUAGAAUAAAUUACAACAAGAGGUAUUAAAGGUUAUAAAAGGAUUUGAUAGAGGCUU